rnacentral:rRNA from 1 species
GACGAACGCUGGCGGCGUGCUUAACACAUGCAAGUCGAACGGUGAAGCCCUUCGGGGUGGAUCAGUGGCGAUCGGGUGCGUGACACGUGCGCAACCUUCACCUGGCCCUGGGACAAGCACUGGAUACGGUAGCUAAUACUGGUUCCGCCCCGCAUCGGCUUCUGCAGUGGGUGGGAAGGUUUUCGGCUGGGGAUGGGCUCGCGGCCUAUCAGCUUGUUGGUGAGGUUGAGGCUCACCAAGGCGACGACGGGUAGCCGGCCUGAGAGGGCGACCGGCCACACUGGGACUGAGACACGGCCCAGACUCCUACGGGAGGCAGCAGUGGGGAAUAUUGCACAAUGGGCGAAAGCCUGAUGCAGCGACGCCGCGUGAGGGAUGACGGCCUUCGGGUUGUAAACCGCUUUCAGCUCCGAAGAAGCGAAAGUGACGGUAGGAGCAGAAGAAGCACCGGCUAACUACGUG